rnacentral:tRNA from 1 species
UUUUGGGGAGUGUAAUCACGUCAUAUUUUGGGUAUGAAAAGGAAAAUUAAGUUUUUUCCCAAAAACC